rnacentral:tRNA from 1 species
GUCCCUAUCGUCUAGAGGCCUAGGACAUCGCCCUUUCACGGCGGUAACCGGGGUUCGACUCCCCGUAGGGACGCCA